rnacentral:tRNA from 1 species
GCCGAGGUGGCCGAGCGGAUAAGGCGCAGGCCUGGAGAGCCUGUGGGGCAAUGCCCCGCCUGGGUUCGAAUCCCAGCCUCGGCG